ensembl:lncRNA
UUUUUUUUUUUUUACUUUGGUAGUGACAAUAUUUAUGCUUAAAGCAGGCUUUUAUUUCAGCCCCCGUUCCUGACAUUGUGAUUAAAGGUGCUUUCCAAUCGCUUUGUCCUCUGAAGGUAUGUUAUCGGAGGUGGUAGACAUUCAGGCCUGGGAGCUGCAUCCUAUUGAACUCCCAGUGUCCAGCGGACCUGCCCACCUGGACAGGCCAAGCCUCCACUGAGAGAUGGAUGUUUCUCAGGCCUCCCCGGGGUCUGGAGCCUGGGUGGCAGCCUCGUCCUGUAGGGCAUUCCGCUCAGGACUUGGGACCUGGGGCCAAACUGCGAAGAGGCUGGAGGCAGCGACAAGGCGGGUGCAGCUGGCCCUCGGCAGUCCUGACCCUGUGCUCCCUCCCUCGGUCCCAGCCUCCACCAGCUUCUAGAGCAAGUUUGUCCAACCUGCAGCCUAUGGGCCACAUGCAGCCCAUGCUGGCUUUGAAUGCCCAACACAAAUUUGUAAGCUUUCUUAAAACAUCACGAGAUUAUUUUGUGAUUUUUUUUUUUUAGCUUAUUAGCUAUUGUUAAUGUUAGUGUAUUUUAUGUGUGGCCCAAGACAGUUCUUCUUCAGAUGUGGCCCAGGGAAGCCAAAAGAUUGGACAUCCCCGAUCUAAAGGUUUUCAUUCCUGUUUCUUUUCUUGAAUCCACCUACCUGCUCAUCUGGGUGGGGGCUGCUCAGGUCUCUGUGUGCGAUCACAGCUGUGGGUCUGGUUAUUUGCCUGCCUCCACACCCCUAAACACACACAUUCCCCACAGCCCUGCGGCAAGAGGGUCAGCCUCUCUUCAGAAAGGAAAAUCAAACAAAAUCCAGGGAAACUGAUGACAUUUCCUUGAAAGCAACAUGUUCCAGGUCUGCUCCCCUCUCGUCUUCCUUGUUGCUCAGUUUUCAGACGCCAGCCAGUCAGUAACAUUAACAUUGACUGAACACUGAGCGAGACGGACACAGAGAACACAUGGCUUAAACCUGCCCGUCGCUGGAGGUAUCGCUGCGCAAGACGGCGAGAAGAAACUGGGUGAGAAAGAAAAACUAGGAAGACAUUGAGAAAGUGAGAAAAGAUUCAUCCACACAGACCAACAGAACUCCAAAAGAAGCCCCACUGUUUGAUAGUGAAGUGCCGUCUUCUCUAAUGAGAAAUUCGCUGCUUUGUGUAUCCAUCCUGAACCCCAGACAACGGUGAGUGAGAAGAGAAACCCCACAGGCUUCCUCUGCAUGCUCCCGGGAUGUGCUGCAGUGUGAGUGCCCGACGGGCUCACGGAAAAGCCCGGAACCAGCUGGGGCCCGUGAUCUGAGCACAGUGUAUUGAAGCCCUGAUGGAAUUCUUCAACAGAUCCUGUCAUCCCCCAAAUCCCCCGACUCCCUGCAACUUCUCUUUCGACUCGCUCACUCUGUAACCAGGCAUCCAUCCCUAUUUGAAGAUUCCUCUCAAGAAGGACAGUGAGGCAGACGUCAGGUUACUGGGCUGUGAGGAGCAGUUGAGAAUGGAGAGUUUCUUACGUAGUUCUCUAAACGUUAAACAAUAAUACGCAACUUCCACCUGUCAGAAAAACUACACACCUUUGUUAGAAUGAUGAGUUUCCAAUGGUUACAUACUAAUAAAUCAACAUCUC